AUGUAUGCCAAUAUUCUCAUAUAAGAUGGCUCUACCAAACAGUAAAAAGUUGUUUAGCCAGUGCCCAAAGGAAACGUUUUGAGGAAGAUGACUCAGUCCUUUUGCAGGCAGACAUUUCAGUAACUCCCACUGCUCAGCUCAGAGCCUUCCUGGAAUGCUUGUCGUGGGCUGGAAGAAUUAUGUGUUCGGCAAAAUGAAGUUUGAGUGGAAAGAGGACAGUUUGAGUGGAUGCAAAUAUUCUGUGAGGAUUUAGGGAAGGAGGCUGAAGAUGGAUGUGAAAGGAAGAGAUGGGCGGGGGAGACAAGUGAGGACACCUCAUGGGUGGGAGAGGGUUUUAGGUGAGGAAAUGGGUUUUUAGGUAUGUGCUAUUUCUGGUCAGGAGUCACAAACUCUGUAGCCUAAAGGCAGGGAGAUAAAUAAGAGGGGGGAGGGUGUGGCUGGGGACUGUGCCUACCUCAAGGGAGGCAGCUCACCUCAGCUCCAGGCUGGAAAAGAAAGGGUGGGGCUAAGAAUCAGGAUUUCCAAUGAAAAUACUGAAGCUCACUGGUUUUUAAUUUAAGAAGUAAUUUAAAAUGUCUGAAACCAAGUGAGGCAGAUACGAUAUUUGGUAGGAUGAGGACACCAGUUUGUGACCCCUUGCCUUACACAGUUAGCCUUCCCCCAGGUAUAUAUAGGCUUAUAUUCUUUGCCAUGGAGACGAUGAUUAUUUAUAUAUAAGUGGGGGUGUGUUAGUUCAUUUCUACUUUAUCUCUCAGAGUUAAGCUUUGUGAUAGGAAUUACAGCAGAAAAAAAUUAACACAGCCACAGAUAACAUUUAUCCCCAGUUCCUGGUAGGGCUCCCAUGCAAGCCUGGCUCUCCAGUUAAAAUCCCAGCUAUAGCACUGGGGGCAAUUUUUUUUUUUCCUGGUGAUUUGAGGUCGACUUCUCAGCCUGGCUGGAGCUUGCAGAUGAGUAAUGAAGAAGAAUUGCAGAAUAACUUUUCUUUGUUGCCCAUGGUAACCUGGCCUGGGCCUUCCCAAUGUUGGUUGGAGACAUUAAACACCAGCAAAACCAAACCAGUAUCCACAGCCAGUAUCCUUUGACCAAAUUGCAUGGAUUUGUAUGAUUCCCACCUCCAAGAGCACUGGCAGGCUUUCUAGUCCUCUCUGACUCAGUGUCUCCCAGCAAAAUGAGCACCAGGUGAGUCUCCUCCCAAAGCACCUUUUGUCACCUCCCAGAAGAAGCCACGUUUUUUUGUUUUUUUGUUUUGUUUUUUUUUUCUUCCCCCACAGAAUUGUGCUUCCCGGCUUUGGCCUUGACAAAGAGGUUUUUUUCCCCCAUGUCUACAUACAUAAAGGAAAAUUUUCUCCUGUGGUGGAAAAAUGAACCUCACCUAAAUCUCUGACAUCCCCAAGAGGAAAACUGGCUCAGUGUUACCCCUGUGGUACGUGUUAGUUUUUUCCCCUUUCUUUAAUUGCUUGUCUGUAACUUAGACAUAUCUAUUUAUUUUUUUAUGGCACACGGUGGGGUGGGAGUAAUGCUGGUGUAUAAGUCAAGAGAGAUCUGGUAAAUUCCAGAUCAUGUACACAGAAAAAAAAAAUAAGCCGAGAUCUGCAGCUAACUGCUAUGUAAUCUGGUUCUGGAAGUAUUAGAUAGGCAGGGAUAUUUUAGCACCUUUUGGGGGUGGGGAGGAUGCCUUGGCUCAGUCGCUUGACUUGAAGCAUUCCAGCUCUGGCUGUUUUUGACGUGCCUUCUGACCCCAAACUGCAUAUUGGGAUACAGUUUGGGGUCACAGUUACAGCCUAAGUUAAUUCCAAUAAAAGAGACCAAAGAGUUAAUCAGACCUGGUUGGCUGCGUAAGACUGUGUGAUUAAGGAUGUCUUCAUCACGCUGUUUCUGUGGCCCCAGUGGGCAAGGCCUGUCACUCAUCUUCAUUCGAAGUGGAGUGUAUUUGCACUUUCAAUCCUGUGGGUCACUUAGGGACCUGUUCUUUCCAAUUUUGCUAUAUCAAUAAAGGAACUUCUGGAAACUUC
rnacentral:lncRNA from 1 species